rnacentral:rRNA from 1 species
GACGAACGCUGGCGGCGUGCUUAACACAUGCAAGUCGAACGGAAAGGCCCUGCUUUUGUGGGGUGCUCGAGUGGCGAACGGGUGAGUAACACGUGAGUAACCUGCCCUUGACUUUGGGAUAACUUCAGGAAACUGGGGCUAAUACCGGAUAGGAGCUCCUGCUGCAUGGUGGGGGUUGGAAAGUUUCGGCGGUUGGGGAUGGACUCGCGGCUUAUCAGCUUGUUGGUGGGGUAGUGGCUUACCAAGGCUUUGACGGGUAGCCGGCCUGAGAGGGUGACCGGCCACAUUGGGACUGAGAUACGGCACAGACUCCUACGGGAGGCAGCAGUGGGGAAUAUUGCACAAUGGGAGGAAGCCUGAUGCAGCAACGCCGCGUGCGGGAUGACGGCCUUCGGGUUGUAAACCGCUUUCGCCUGUGACGAAGCGUGAGUGACGGUAAUGGGUAAAGAAGCACCGGCUAACUACGUG